GACGAACGCUGGCGGCGUGCUUAACACAUGCAAGUCGAACGAAGUGGCGAACGGGUGUGUAACGCGUAAUCAACCUGCCCUUCAGAGGGGGACAACAGUUGGAAACGACUGCUAAUACCUCAUACUGAUGGCGGGGAUUGCGUCUGAUUAGCUAGUGGGAGGGGUAACGGCCCACCAAGGCGAGGGUGAGUAGCCGGUCUGAGAGGAUGAACGGCCACAUUGGGACUGGGACACGGCCCAGACUCCUACGGGAGGCAGAAGUGGGGAAUCUUCCGCAAUGGACGAAAGGCUGACGGAGCAAAGCCGCGUGAGUGAUGACGGCCUUCGGGUCGUAAAGCUCUGUUAAUCGGGACGCGGUACCGGAAUAGAAAGCCACGGCUAACUACGUGCCAGCAGCCGCGGUAAUAC
rnacentral:rRNA from 1 species